GACGAACGCUGGCGGCGUGCUUAACACAUGCAAGUCGAACGGUAAGGCCCUUCGGGGUACACGAGUGGCGAACGGGUGAGGAACACGUGGGUGAUCUACCCUGCACUUCGGGAUAAGCCUGGGAAACUGGGUCUAAUACCGGAUAGGACCACUGCCUGCAUGGGUGGUGGUGGAAAGCUUUUGCGGUGUGGGAUGGGCCCGCGGCCUAUCAGCUUGUUGGUGGGGUGAUGGCCUACCAAGGCGACGACGGGUAGCCGGCCUGAGAGGGUGACCGGCCACACUGGGACUGAGAUACGGCCCAGACUCCUACGGGAGGCAGCAGUGGGGAAUAUUGCACAAUGGGCGCAAGCCUGAUGUAGCGACGCCGCGUGAGGGAUGACGGCCUUCGGGUUGUAAACCUCUUUCAGCACCGACGAAGCGCAAGUGACGGUAGGUGCAGAAGAAGGACCGGCCAACUACGUGCCAGCCGCCGCCGUAA
rnacentral:rRNA from 1 species